AGUGAACGCUGGCGGUAGGCCUAACACAUGCAAGUCGAACGGCAGCACAGGAGAGCUUGCUCUCUGGGUGGCGAGUGGCGGACGGGUGAGGAAUACAUCGGAAUCUACUUUUUCGUGGGGGAUAACGUAGGGAAACUUACGCUAAUACCGCAUACGACCUACGGGUGAAAGCAGGGGAUCUUCGGACCUUGCGCGAUUGAAUGAGCCGAUGUCGGAUUAGCUAGUUGGCGGGGUAAAGGCCCACCAAGGCGACGAUCCGUAGCUGGUCUGAGAGGAUGAUCAGCCUCACUGGAACUGAGACACGGUCCAGACUCCUACGGGAGGCAGCAGUGGGGAAUAUUGGACAAUGGGCGCAAGCCUGAUCCAGCCAUACCGCGUGGGUGAAGAAGGCCUUCGGGUUGUAAAGCCCUUUUGUUGGGAAAGAAAUCCAUCUGGUUAAUACCCGGGUGGGAUGACGGUACCCAAAGAAUAAGCACCGGCUAACUUCGUGCCAGCAGCCGCAGUAA
rnacentral:rRNA from 1 species